GAGAUUUUAGGCGAACUGCUAAAUCGCCCUUUCGGGCCUGAACUCCCGAACAUCUC
rnacentral:tRNA from 1 species